rnacentral:ncRNA from 1 species
AAAUUGCCUAUGAAGAGAAAUAGUAACAUAAUUAAAGGUUAAGAGAGUCAGUGGUUGGUGUGAACUGAUGCCUAUUAUUUUGUGAAUCCAUCUCCGAGGAUAUUACGAUGAGUAAUACGGUUAAAACCGUUAUUUUAAAUGAGAGAAUCAUAAUUUUAUUGUGAUUAAUAAGGGUGGCAACGCGAAGUCAAUCGUCCCUACU